GUUCUAAUAGCUCAGUUGGAUAGAGUGUUAGCCUCCGAAGCUAAAGGUCGGGAGUUCGAAUCUCCCUUAGAACACCA
rnacentral:tRNA from 1 species